rnacentral:rRNA from 2 species
GUCUGUAUGAAGUUGUAUAGAGUCUGGCCUGCCCAUUGAAGAAAUUUAAAAGGCCGCGGUAUAUUAACUGUGCAAAGGUAGCAUAAUCAUUAGCUUUUUAAUUGAAGGCUUGUAUGAAGGGUCUGACAAAGAAAAAGCUGUCUUUAAUUUUAUUUUUGAAAUUAACUUUUAAGUGAAAAGGCUUAAAUAAAUUUAAGGGACGAUAAGACCCUAUAAAUCUUUAUAUUAAAUUUUAGCUUAAAUAUUAAUUAGUUUGUUUAUAUUUUUUUUUAAAGUUAAAAUAAAUAUUUUGUUGGGGUGACAAGAAUAUAAUAAUUAACUGUUCUUUUAUAAAACAAAGUUGUUUGUAAAAUAAAAUAAAGAUCCUUUAUUAAAGAUUAAAAGUUUAAGUUACUUUAGGGAUAACAGCGUUAUUUUUUUUGAGAGUUCAUAUCGAAAAAAAAGUUUGCGACCUCGAUGUUGAAUUAAAAUUUCUCUAUGGUGUAGAAGUUAUAGGAGAGAGUCUGUUCGACUUUU